AGCGAACGCUGGCGGCAGGCUUAACACAUGCAAGUCGAGCGGGCACUUUCGGGUGUCAGCGGCGGACGGGUGAGUAACGCGUGGGAACGUGCCCUCUGGUUCGGAAUAACUCAGGGAAACUUGAGCUAAUACCGGAUACGCCCUUUUGGGGAAAGGCUUGCUGCCGGAGGAUCGGCCCGCGUCUGAUUAGCUAGUUGUUGAGGUAACGGCUCACCAAGGCGACGAUCAGUAGCUGGUCUGAGAGGAUGAUCAGCCACACUGGGACUGAGACACGGCCCAGACUCCUACGGGAGGCAGCAGUGGGGAAUAUUGGACAAUGGGCGCAAGACUGAUCCAGCCAUGCCGCGUGAGUGAUGAAGGCCUUAGGGUUGUAAAGCUCUUUUAUCCGGGACGAUAAUGACGGUACCGGAGGAAUAAGCCCCGGCUAACUUCGUG
rnacentral:rRNA from 1 species